rnacentral:rRNA from 1 species
CAGAGUGGAUCCUGAGUACGGCGGAACACGUGAAAUUCCGUCGGAAUCCGGGAGGACCAUCUCCCAAGGCUAAAUACUCCCUAGUGACCGAUAGUGAACCAGUACCGUGAGGGAAAGGUGAAAAGCACCCCGGAAGGGGAGUGAAACAGUUCCUGAAACCGUGUGCCUACAAGUAGUUAGAGCCCGUUAAUGGGUGAUAGCGUGCCUUUUGUAGAAUGAACCGGCGAGUUACGAUUUGUUGCAAGGUUAAGCGGAAAAAGCGGAGCCGUAGCGAAAGCGAGUCUGAAUAGGGCGCAUAAGUAACAGGUCGUAGACCCGAAACCAGGUGAUCUACCCAUGUCCAGGAUGAAGGUAAGGUAAUACUUACUGGAGGUCCGAACCCACGCACGUUGAAAAGUGCGGGGAUGAGGUGUGGGUAGCGGAGAAAUUCCAAUCGAACUUGGAGAUAGCUGGUUCUCUCCGAAAUAGCUUUAGGGCUAGCCUCGAGGUAAAGAGUCAUGGAGGUAGAGCACUGUUUGGACUAGGGGCCCUUCUCGGGUUACCGAAUUCAGAUAAAC